GGCGCUAUAGUGUAGUGGCUAUCACAACGGAUUCUGAUGUUGGCUGUUUUCCGUUAACCCAGGUUCGAGCCCUGGUAGCGCCU